GACGUAGGGCGCGAGCGUUGUCCGGAUUUAUUGGGCGUAAAGAGCUCGUAGGCGGCUUGUCGCGUCGACUGUGAAAUCCCGCGGCUCAACUGCGGGUCUGCAGUCGAUACGGGCAGGCUAGAGUUCGGUAGGGGAGACUGGAAUUCCUGGUGUAGCGGUGAAAUGCGCAGAUAUCAGGAGGAACACCGGUGGCGAAGGCAGAUCUCUGGGCCGUAACUGACGCUGAGGAGCGAAAGCAUGGGGAGCGAACAGG
rnacentral:rRNA from 1 species